rnacentral:rRNA from 1 species
CCUACGGGCGGCUGCAGUAAGGAAUAUUGGUCAAUGGACGAAAGUCUGAACCAGCCAUCCCGCGUGCAGGAUGAAAGCCCUAUGGGUUGUAAACUGCUUUUAGCAGAGAAGAAAAGCUUUCAUUACUGAGAGUCUGACGGUAUCUGCAGAAUAAGCACCGGCUAACUCCGUGCCAGCCGCCGCGGUAAUACGGAGGGUGCCGGCGUUAUCCGGAAUUACUGGGGUGUAGGGGUAGUAUUACGUAAUUUUAGAAAUCUUGUCGCUGAACGAUAAAAUUGCCAAGGAUACUGGUACUCUUGAAUUGGGUUGAGGUUAGCGGAAUGUGACAUGUAGCGGUGAAAUGCAUAGAUAUGUCAUGGAACACCAAUUGCGAAGGCAGCUAACUGGGCCUUGAUUGACGCUGAGGCACGAAAGCGUGGGUAGCGAACAGGAUUAGAUACCCGAGUAGUC